rnacentral:rRNA from 1 species
UACAGGGGGGGCAAGCGUUAUUCGGAAUUAUUGGGCGUAAAGGGCGCGUAGGCGGCCUGGCAAGUGGAAGGUGAAAUCCCUCGGCUUAACCGAGGAACUGCCUCCCAAACUGCUUGGCUUGAGACCAGGAGAGGUGAGUGGAAUUCCCAGUGUAGCGGUGAAAUGCGUAGAUAUUGGGAGGAACACCAGUGGCGAAGGCGGCUCACUGGACUGGUACUGACGCUGAGGCGCGAAAGCUAGGGGAGCAAACGGG